GACGAACGCUGGCGGCGUGCUUAACACAUGCAAGUCGAACGGAAAGGCCCCUUUGGGGGUACUCGAGUGGCGAACGGGUGAGUAACACGUGAGUAACCUGCCCUUGACUUCGGGAUAACUUCAGGAAACUGGGGCUAAUACCGGAUAGGAAUCCUUGCUGCAUGGUGGGGGUUGGAAAGCUUCGGCGGUUUUGGAUGGACUCGCGGCUUAUCAGCUUGUUGGUGGGGUAGUGGCUUACCAAGGCUUUGACGGGUAGCCGGCCUGAGAGGGCGACCGGCCACAAUGGGACUGAGCUACGGCACAGACUCCUACGGGAGGCAGCAGUGGCGAAUAUUGCACAAUGGGCGGAAGCCUGAUGCAGCAACGCCGCGUGCGGGAUGACGGCCUUCGGGUUGUAAACCGCUUUCAGCAGGGGCGAAGCUUUUGUGACGGUACCUGCAGAAGAAGCACCGGCUAACUACGUG
rnacentral:rRNA from 1 species